CAUAAUUACCUUCGCUUGAUUGGCAGAAGAGAAUCUUGCAGCCAAUCAGACACAAGGAUUGGGUCUAUUCUUUUGUUAAGCUGGGUUUCGGCAGGGCGGCGGAACUUGUACAACAAUGGUGUGGUUUGUGCAUUGUUGUAGCGAUAAUGUUAUCUAGACCAAAAGUGUAGAGGAAUGCGUUGGGAAAACCCUGAGCCCAUCUUUCUCACAGGUCGCACUUAAUAAAGAGAUUAACGCUUUGGUUUUCUUGCGCUAAAAAAAAAUCGCUAAACCCUUGCACGCUUUGUGUUUCAAAUGCGCAUGCGCAUUGAAGUUCGUGUCGUAAUCGAGAUAAUUUAGUUUGUUUACAAAUAAUAACAGACAAGAAAUCAUUUCGACGCAAAUUAGAGAGUAAUAUGACAAGUGUUCUAUAGCGAAAAAAAUAGAGAUACGGUAAGAUGCCACCUGAGAGAGAACGAUACGCGAUAGGAAGGAAGUCAUCAAAACCGCUGAUGGAAAAACGACGUCGAGCCAGAAUUAACGAUAGUCUUACGCAAUUAAAGUCUUUGAUACUGGAUGCUAAUAAUAAAAAUACAUCACGGCAUUCGAAGAUGGAGAAAGCUGACAUACUGGAGAUGACAGUAAAACAUUUAAAAGAAGUGUACCGUUCUCAAGCUCAAGG